GAUGAACGCUGGCGGCGUGCCUAAUACAUGCAAGUCGAGCGAACAGACGAGGAGCUUGCUCCUCUGACGUUAGCGGCGGACGGGUGAGUAACACGUGGAUAACCUACCUAUAAGACUGGGAUAACUUCGGGAAACCGGAGCUAAUACCGGAUAAUAUAUUGAACCGCAUGGUUCAAUAGUGAAAGACGGUUUUGCUGUCACUUAUAGAUGGAUCCGCGCCGCAUUAGCUAGUUGGUAAGGUAACGGCUUACCAAGGCAACGAUGCGUAGCCGACCUGAGAGGGUGAUCGGCCACACUGGAACUGAGACACGGUCCAGACUCCUACGGGAGGCAGCAGUAGGGAAUCUUCCGAAAGGGGCGAAAGCUUGACGGAGCAACGCCGCGUGAGUGAUGAAGGUCUUCGGAUCGUAAAACUCUGUUAUUAGGGAAGAACAAAUGUGUAAGUAACUAUGCACGUCUUGACGGUACCUAAUCAGAAAGCCACGGCUAACUACGUG
rnacentral:rRNA from 1 species